UACGUAGGGCGCAAGCGUUAUCCGGAAUUAUUGGGCGUAAAGAGCUCGUAGGCGGUUUGUCGCGUCUGCCGUGAAAGUCCGGGGCUCAACUCCGGAUCUGCGGUGGGUACGGGCAGACUAGAGUGAUGUAGGGGAGACUGGAAUUCCUGGUGUAGCGGUAAAAUGCGCAGAUAUCAGGAGGAACACCGAUGGCGAAGGCAGGUCUCUGGGCAUUAACUGACGCUGAGGAGCGAAAGCAUGGGGAGCGGACAGG
rnacentral:rRNA from 1 species